rnacentral:RNase_P_RNA from 2 species
UGGGGCAACUGGGCGAUCGCGUGUUGUGCAAACAACCCGAGGAACGUCCGGGCUCCGAAGAGCACAGUGGUGGGUAACACCCACUCGGGGUAACCCGCAGGCCAGUGCCACAGAAAAUAGACCGCCUCUGCAUGCAGAGGUAAGGGUGAAACGGCGGUGUAAGAGACCACCGCUUUCCGGGUGACCGGAAAGGCUAAGGUAAACCCCACUGGGAGCAAGGCCAGACAGGGCACGUUUGAGGGCUGCUCGCCCGAGUGUCCGGGUAGGCUGCUAGAGGGCGUCGGCAACGGCGUCCGUAGAUGGAUGAUCGUCGCUUCUAUGCUGGUAACGGCGUAGUAAGACAGAACCCGGCGUACAGGUUGCCCCAUCCG